AGGGUUGUUCACAAAAGCCUUGGGAACAAGAAGUAUCACAAUAACAUUUCAAGUAAAGAGAAAAAACAAAAAGACACAAGACGGACACCAACACCACAUAUAGCAAAUAUGCACCCACCAACACUCCCUUAACAAUGAGGCGAGAUCGGGCUAACAUCUUUAGUAGUCCUCUCCUUCAUCAUCCUCACCCUCAGCUGAUUCAGCACCA
rnacentral:misc_RNA from 1 species